UUUAUGUUUGCAGCUUAUGUAUAUUUCCCUGAGUUAACAUAGGUCCCUUGCAACUCUCAGAUUUCAAAGACUUUGCUGUAGAGGAGAUUCAUGAAUUGUGCAGGGAAUUGAACUGGAUAAUCUGCAAUGUCCAUUCCAACUUGGUGAUUCUGUGAGUCCAUAAUUCUAAGGAAAUGUCCUGGGACCUGCCUUCCAACAAGAACAACCUCAACAUCAUGGACUACAACCUGACAAUCCUGCACACUGCUGCCUUCACUUGGGAAGAGCUGACUACAGUUGUUGACAAUAGCAGCUGCAGCUGGACCUAGCCAACCUCAAAAGUUGCUUAAUAAAGACAACAAGUACAACCAGUGUCAAGGAGAUGUCAAAUUUGUGUCAAAUCAAGGAUAUUGACUUGCUUCUGGGACCUUGAUCAGCUUUGAUUGUCAGUAUGGCACACCCACACUAUGCAUGAACUGAGAGCCACCAACCAUCUUCACCAGGAGCAGCUUUAUCUCCUCAUACCUGAUGGACUGAUAUGGGGGACUGUGGGAAUAGUUGAUGACUAACUGUUAAACCUUGACUGGGUCAUCUGUUAGUGUGUGUUUAAGAUUUGGGAUGGGAUUUGUUAAAACUGUGUAACUAUUUCUGUGAUGUGUGAGGGAUUUUUAGGAACACUACUGUGCUAGUCUCUUACAUAUAGGGAUUUUGGAUUCACUCUUGGGAUUUAUAUGUGGAAUGGUCAUUUGAUAAUUCCUCUCUAUGAAGAAAAAAAAAAGGGAGGAAGAGAUAGAAUAUUGGGGAAACUGGUAUAUUUUUCUAAAAAAUACCUGAAAGAAUAGGAACCCUUUAUUGUCAGAAUUGCCCUGGUGGACUCAGUUCUUGGGAUUAUUAUUUUUUUUUUUAGAAACAACCAGAAAUCAGACACCUGUCUUGGGACUGGCAGUCUCUCUGAUCUGUUUUUCCAGUCCUGUAAUCCCAGUUCAUUAAUUAGUAUUUCAGCAAUCUUAAAGGAUCUUGUAGUUUGAUAUCAGGCAUCUAAAAGUUUGGGGUUUGCCUGCCUUGAUGGUCUAACUGUGCAUAAUCUGCUCUACAAUCUGAUCCUUUCUGCAGCCCUGUCUGUUCCUCUAGGCGGGGGCAGAUGAAGCUACUCCAAGCCUCACUCUUAUCCCAUGGAGAGAGUUGCCCUUCUGAAUGGGCCUUGAGCCCUUGAGCCCUGUUGCUCUGUAAGCAGAGACUGAGUUAAAUGCACAAAUGACUGCAGACCACCUAACUCACAGUGAACUCUCCAUCUCAAACUGGAUUUUCUGGCUGAGAAGUUGCCCCAGCUGCAGAGGACCUAACAUGUUUGCAACAGAGAGCCUUUGUACUGCUCUGGGGUUAUUAGGGAAAGACUUGUCCUUGCCUUUUUUUUUUUCUUUUCUAGUUUUAUUUUGGUUUUUUUGCUUCACAUAGGAUUCAGAAGAGAGAGAGUGUGAAAUGUUGUGCCACAGUCCUCUUUAACUGUUCUGACUCUGUUUCCCUAAUUGGUUCUGCCUCAGUUUCCCUAAAUUGUUCUGCCUCGGUUUCCUUAACUGUUCUGCCUCAAUCCCCUUAGUUGCAAAACCCCACUCUGGUUCAUUGAAGACUGAACCUUGCUCUAAAGUUAUAAAUUGUUAAUGUGAGACUCAAGAUAAGGGGGAGUUCAGACUUUCUGGCUCUUAUCAGAAUGUUCAAUGUCUCCCACCAUACUGUCAGAACCAGAUUGCUGUUCCCACUCUCAAUGUUCUGACUUUUCCUCGGCCUUGGUGUAACUCACAUUCACCACUGCUUACUUUGAGAAUGGAGUCCUGUCCAGUCAAUCAAACUCUCCAAUUAAUAGAAUGUUGGGAGCUCUCUGAUAUUUAUCUUGCCUCAUUUUCUUUGGCCUUACAUUUGCUUUCUUAGCUCUUGUGUUGAUGCAGACUCUAGAUAGUCUCAUCACCCAUUUAGAAAAAUCAAUGGACUACCUAGAGGGGGUUGUCAAGUCAGUCGGGGAUCAUUAGGGAAUCCCUCGCCUCCUUGCGUAAGCAAUUGGAUGACCAGGAGGCCAGUUGUAAGGCUUCAAUGUCCUGAUAUCAGUCACUCUAAUCACAUGUGGGUCCAGUCCUGUUAUAACUUCUCCUCCUCCUCAUAGCUCCCUGCAUAAUUAAGUGCCUUAUUUCUUACAGAUCCUGAAACUUUUCACCCUCAAGAUGACUUAUUUGAUGACUUAUUCCCAGUUGACCUCAGAUGAGUCACAACUAUGAACAUAAAAAGGGAGGAGUAAAAUGGACAAAAGACUGGCCCCCCUCAUCCCUGGGUCAAGGGGACUCAGGCUUAUAGGAAAAUGUUGCUUAAACUAAAUUAAGGGGAGUGUUAUGUUCAGACAGAAUGCUUGCCUGACAAUGUCAGACAUCCUGUAAGCUCCCCAGCAUCCCCCUUCUCUAAUGAGAAGUCAAGUCACUAUUGUAACCACAAGGCAGAACUAGAAUUGCUUAUAAACCGGUCUCUACUUGGGUUCAGCACAGUACUCUACUGAGAGUCUAUCCUGGCCUGGUAAAUAAACAAUAAAUGAUUUCUAAAUUACAAACA